rnacentral:rRNA from 1 species
UACAGAGGGGGCAAGCGUUGUUCGGAAUUACUGGGCGUAAAGGGCGCGUAGGCGGCCUUCUAAGUCGAACGUGAAAUCCCCGGGCUCAACCCGGGAACUGCGUCCGAUACUGGAAGGCUUGAAUCCGGGAGAGGGAUGCGGAAUUCCAGGUGUAGCGGUGAAAUGCGUAGAUAUCUGGAGGAACACCGGUGGCGAGGGCGGCAUCCUGGACCGGCAUUGACGCUGAGGCGCGAAAGCCAGGGGAGCAAACGGG